UCAUCCGAGCCCUAGGUUUCUCUUCAGCCUCCCCAUUCACCUCCAUCUCUAUUCUCGAUCUCAACUCUGAACUUGCCCCCAUUCUCUCUCUGCAACUCCCCAAUCGCCUCCAUCUCUAUUCUCAUUCUCAACCCCCCCCCCCCCCCCCCCCUCUCUGUAACUGCUAACUAGAAAAUCUACAAGAAUCAGAAGUUCAAAACCCAUAUAUUUCAAUUUAUCUAUCUGUCUACAAGAAUUAAAAGUUCAAAACCUAUUACAUAAUCAACCCAUAUCUGAUAUGCCAGAUUGUUCAAAAAAUCAAAACCCAUAUCUUUUUGUUUCUAUCGCCCGUUGUUCCAGUUCGGGUUCGCCGUUCACAAGCUUCAACCGCUGUCUCUCAACUCUCAAGCUUGCCCCCCUCUCUCUCUGUGCAACUACUAACUUGUAUGUAUGGUUUUUUUUUUUUUUUUUAAAUCAAUUAAUCACUGGCUUGUUGUGAUGGGAAAACACGAGGAGGACGACACUUCCAAGGACCAGAUUAUCGAUAGUUACAUCAAAACCUUAGCUAUGGUUGUUGGAAGUAUCGGAUGUUGCCGACGCAGACAAAUCUGAAUAUGCCUCCACUUCCUUCCAAUAUGACGAAAAAGGUUCUUUCAGUUGCAGCAACAAAAUCAAAGACCAGUGGGGGUGUUAAUACACAGAAUGGAGAGGAAGUUGCGAUUAAGCUGGUUUCACAUUGAUUGAAAUUUUGAUAUGUGAAUGUGAUUAAUUGUGUAAUAUUGGAUUUGGAUAUUAGCAUUUUAAUAUGUGCUGGAAUUAUUAUUUUAGAUUUUGGAUGAUUUGUACAUUUUAAUAUCUAAAUUCUUAAUGGAAUGUGUUUUAUAUUCUA